AAGCACUUUACCUGAUUUCCUUCGGGGAUGAUUGUUCUGUGACUGAGUGGCGGACGGGUGAGUAACGCGUGGAUAACCUGCCUCACACAGGGGGAUAACAGUUGGAAACGGCUGCUAAUGCCGCAUAAGCGCACAGGACCACAUGGUCUGGUGUGAAAAACUCCGGUGGUAUGAGAUGGACUCGCGUCUGAUUAGCUGGUUGGUGAGGUAACGGCCCACCAAGGCGACGAUCAGUAGCCGGCCUGAGAGGGUGAACGGCCACAUUGGGACUGAGACACGGCCCAAACUCCUACGGGAGGCAGCAGUGGGGAAUAUUGCACAAUGGGGGAAACCCUGAUGCAGCGACGCCGCGUGAGUGAAGAAGUAUUUCGGUAUGUGAAGCUCUAUCAGCAGGGAAGAAAAUGACGGUACCUGACUAAGAAGCCCCGGCUAACUACGUGCCAGCAGCCGCGGUAAUACGUAGGGGGCAAGCGUUAUCCGGAUUUACUGGGUGUAAAGGGAGCGUAGACGGCUUUGCAAGUCUGACGUGAAAAUCCGGGGCUCAACCCCGGAACUGCGUUGGAAACUGUGAGGCUUGAGUGCCGGAGAGGUAAGCGGAAUUCCUAGUGUAGCGGUGAAAUGCGUAGAUAUUAGGAGGAACACCAGUGGCGAAGGCGGCUUACUGGACGGCAACUGACGUUGAGGCUCGAAAGCGUGGGGAGCAAACAGGAUUAGAUACCCUGGUAGUCCACGCCGUAAGCGAUGAAUA
rnacentral:rRNA from 1 species